rnacentral:rRNA from 1 species
AGGAUGAACGCUGGCGGCGUGCUUAACACAUGCAAGUCGAACGAUGAUCCAGCUUGCUGGGGGAUUAGUGGCGAACGGGUGAAUAACACGUGAGUAACCCGCCCUUAACUCUGGGAUAAGCCUGGGAAACUGGGUCUAAUACCGGAUAUGACUCCUCAUCGCAUGGUGGGGGGUGAAAGCUUUAUUGUGGUUUUGGAUGGACUCGCGGCCUAUCAGCUUGUUGGUGAGGUAAUGGCUCACCAAGGCGACGACGGGUAGCCGGCCUGAGAGGGUGACCGGCCACACUGGGACUGAGACACGGCCCAGACUCCUACGGGAGGCAGCAGUGGGGAAUAUUGCACAGUGGGCGCAAGCCUGAUGCAGCGACGCCGCGUGAGGGAUGACGGCCGUUCGGUUGUAAACCUUCUUUCGAGUAAGGGAAGAAGCGAAAGUGACGGUACCUGACGAGAAGAAGCGACCGGCUAAACGUCGUGACCAGCAGCCGC